UACAGAGGUCUCAAGCGUUGUUCGGAUUCAUUGGGCGUAAAGGGUGCGUAGGCGGCGCGGUAAGUCGGGUGUGAAAUCUCGGAGCUUAACUCCGAAACUGCAUUCGAUACUGCCGUGCUUGAGGACUGGAGAGGAGUACUGGAAUUUACGGUGUAGCAGUGAAAUGCGUAGAGAUCAUGAGGAAGACCAGUGGGCGAAAGGCGGGUCUCUGGACAGUUCCUGACACUGAGACACGGAAGGCCAGGGGAGCAAACGGG
rnacentral:rRNA from 1 species